GACCCUACGGGAGGCAGCAGUGGGGAAUAUUGCACAAUGGGCGAAAGCCUGAUGCAGCAACGCCGCGUGAAGGAGGACGGUUUUCGGAUUGUAAACUUCUGUUCUUAGUGAAGAAUAAUGACGGUAACUAAGGAGCAAGCCACGGCUAACUACGUGCCAGCAGCCGCGGUAAUACGUAGGUGGCAAGCGUUGUCCGGAAUUACUGGGUGUAAAGGGAGCGUAGACGGUGAUGCAAGUCUGGAGUGAAAGGCGGGGGCCCAACCCCCGGACUGCUCUGGAAACUGUGUAACUUGAGGGCCGGAGAG
rnacentral:rRNA from 1 species